rnacentral:lncRNA from 1 species
AACAGCCCUUCCUGGGAAAUCAACAUCCUGCAGGGUACAUGCCAAGCCACAGGCAGCUGCAACCCCAUGGGAGUAAGGCCUCUGCUAUUAUUCCAAGGCUGGAUUCCGAGUCACUGUGUGGACGCAACUGUCAGUAAAAUCAACUUCGCAAAGGACUUUCUGUAAGGAACCCAACCUCAGCAGACGAAAACUGUCUCUGACCAGGGAAAGCAGGGAAUCACUUCCGCUCAUGGGCGGCGCUCCAAGAGGAAGUCGAGUGCAUAACAGAUGGCCAAGUUUCCCUGUUCUAGUCUUGAGAUGAAGCAAGCGCUUUGUCGAGGAGGCCACAGCAAAUGGAAGACCUAUAUGCUUGCCUUGGUUUUGUAGCCAUCUCUGACAUGUCCCUAAAUGGGGUCCUUCUCACUAUUUUAUUUCAUCAGCAACUUGUUUUCAAAUCGAGGAUUUGGUAACUCUCAGUCGCUUUUAUCUCUAAAGGAAAAUGCAAUUUUUACUGGUGACAGUGCUCUUCAAAGUUUAAUUUGUAUGUUGCCUAUCUACGAGUUCUUGCUGAAGUCCCCUUGUUAGCACAGGGCUCCUGUUUCCUCUCUGACCCUCUGAAGCUAAUGACAGCUGCAUUAUACUGCAGAGGUAAUCAAUAGCCUCCUAUGGCGGAUCACAUCCAAUCAGACCCUUAUGAAAUUAGUGCAGUGGAGAUAUAUGUAUAUAUCUUAAUUAAAAC